UACGUAGGGUGCAAGCGUUGCCCGGAUUUAUUGGGCGUAAAGGGCGCGUAGGCGGCUCUGCACGUUCGUUGUGAAAUCGCCCGGCUCAACUGGGCGGGGUCAGCGGAUACGGCAGAGCUUGAGCAAGCUAGGGGGCAAUGGAAUUCCCGGUGUAGUGGUGGAAUGCGUAGAUAUCUGGAAGAACACCAAAGGCGAAGGCAGUGUCCUGGGUGGUCGCUGACGCUGAGGAGCGAAAGCUAGGGGAGCAAACGGG
rnacentral:rRNA from 1 species